rnacentral:lncRNA from 1 species
GAACGGAACCCUAGCAAGGAAUAUGGCUGCUGAAACCGACGCGAGAUGCCAGGGAGACGUAAGAAAGCUAUCCUUCUUCUUUGAGAAACUCGGCGCCUCUUCUCCUCCUGGUAUGAACUUUUUAUUGAUUUGAACGAAUUGAUCUUGUAUCCUUCGUUGACAAUUUCGUGGAUUUUGUUAAAAUUAAGAUUUAUAAUUAGUGAACGUGCCUGUUGCUUUCAAAAUCAGAUCUGAAAGUUCUUAUUGCU